rnacentral:piRNA from 1 species
UGCACUUCUCUAAGCAUAUGUUGAGUUAGU